rnacentral:rRNA from 1 species
UCGAUUCCCUUAGUAGCGGCGAGCGAAACGGGAAGAGCCCAAACCAACAAGCUUGCUUGUUGGGGUUGUAGGACACUCUAUACGGAGUUACAAAGGACGACAUUAGACGAAUCAUCUGGAAAGAUGAAUCAAAGAAGGUAAUAAUCCUGUAGUCGAAAAUGUUGUCUCUCUUGAGUGGAUCCUGAGUACGACGGAGCACGUGAAAUUCCGUCGGAAUCUGGGAGGACCAUCUCCUAAGGCUAAAUACUCUCUAGUGACCGAUAGUGAACCAGUACCGUGAGGGAAAGGUGAAAAGCACCCCGGAAGGGGAGUGAAAUAGAACCUGAAACCGUGUGCUUACAAGUAGUCAGAGCCCGUUAAUGGGUGAUGGCGUGCCUUUUGUAGAAUGAACCGGCGAGUUACGAUUUGAUGCAAGGUUAAGCAGUAAAUGUGGAGCCGUAGCGAAAGCGAGUCUGAAUAGGGCGUUUAGUAUUUGGUCGUAGACCCGAAACCAGGUGAUCUACCCUUGGUCAGGUUGAAGUUCAGGUAACACUGAAUGGAGGACCGAACCGACUUACGUUGAAAAGUGAGCGGAUGAACUGAGGGUAGCGGAGAAAUUCCAAUCGAACCUGGAGAUAGCUGGUUCUCUCCGAAAUAGCUUUAGGGCUAGCCUCAAGUGAUGAUUAUUGGAGGUAGAGCACUGUUUGGACGAGGGGCCCCUCUCGGGUUACCGAAUUCAGACAAACUCCGAAUGCCAAUUAAUUUAACUUGGGAGUCAGAACAUGGGUGAUAAGGUCCGUGUUCGAAAGGGAAACAGCCCAGACCACCAGCUAAGGUCCCAAAAUAUAUGUUAAGUGGAAAAGGAUGUGGCGUUGCCCAGACAACUAGGAUGUUGGCUUAGAAGCAGCCAUCAUUUAAAGAGUGCGUAAUAGCUCACUAGUCGAGUGACACUGCGCCGAAAAUGUACCGGGGCUAAACAUAUUACCGAAGCUGUGGAUUGUCCUUUGGACAAUGGUAGGAGAGCGUUCUAAGGGCGUUGAAGCAUGAUCGUAAGGACAUGUGGAGCGCUUAGAAGUGAGAAUGCCGGUGUGAGUAGCGAAAGACGGGUGAGAAUCCCGUCCACCGAUUGACUAAGGUUUCCAGAGGAAGGCUCGUCCGCUCUGGGUUAGUCGGGUCCUAAGCUGAGGCCGACAGGCGUAGGCGAUGGAUAACAGGUUGAUAUUCCUGUACCACCUAUAAUCGUUUUAAUCGAUGGGGGGACGCAGUAGGAUAGGCGAAGCGUGCGAUUGGAUUGCACGUCUAAGCAGUAAGGCUGAGUAUUAGGCAAAUCCGGUACUCG